UACGAAGGUCCCAAGCGUUAUCCGGAUUUAUUGGGUUUAAAGGGUGGCGUAAGGCGGACUAUUAAGUCAGUGGUGAAAGCCCCCAGCCUAACUGGGGAACUGCCAUUGAUACUGAUGGUCUUGAGUACAUUUGAGGUGGGCGGAAUAUGACAUGUAGUGGUGAAAUACAUAGAGAUGUCAUAGAACACCGAUUGCGAAGGCAGCUCACAAAACUGUAACUGACGCUGAGGCUCGAAAGUGCGGGGAUCAAACAGG
rnacentral:rRNA from 1 species